UCCUUCCUUUUUUUAGGGGCAAUAAACAAAUGUUUUUUUUUUUGUAAAAAGAAAGGCAACUUAACGUGUUCUAUGUGCUAUGCCUAAUAUUUACCAAUUAAUCCUAGGCUUCGUGGUUUUGUGUGUAAAUGUCACACAAAACAGAAUGAAUAAGAAAAAUUACCCAAUGGGAAAUUAUAAAAGCUUUUAAUGAAGGGGGUUGCCAGAGCGUGAGUCGAGGUAUGGUGAAUAAAGUAUCUCGCCGGGAAAGGGAUAGAAGUAGGGUGAGCGCAAUUGUGAUUGGCUAAAGAAAACAAUGAAGGCUAUGCGGUAAAAACGGUGUUUUGGAUGCUGUUGAAAACUGCCUAUAUAAAGGGGUUAGCGGUAGGCCAGAAGUUAGAACUGCCUCGUGUUAUUGAAAUCGACAUCCAGUGCGGGAAAAUGUAGAAAGGUGCGGCGUACAAGAAAAAAAAUACCGCGGAGUGUCCUGUUUUUUUGUAGUUUCUAAAAAUCCUAAGUAAGGAGAGGAAACUAAGUGUAAGUGCGCCAGAAAGUUACGAAAAUAUACGCGCUAACACAAGAGGACUCAAUUCCGGAAGUUAAGGACCCUCCUAAAGUGGAAGAAAGGCUACUUGGCCGGACUUGGAAGGCCACGGAGUGGUUGUAGGAGUAGAGCACCCACGGGCUAGAGGCAGUGGAACAGGCAGGAAGUCCCCCGGCGAGAUUGUGCCAGGAGUUUAAAUUUGUACGUCCGUACGUGGAUGCAGAAGGGUGCGGCACAACUCGCUGGUGAGUGGUCGAUUCUUAAGAUAUGCGAAAUUUUGUAUCUUUUACGAAUGUGUUGAGAGGGAAUGCCCCAUAUCGCCAUAGCGUCAGGAAAUUUUAUUGGUGUCACCCGUUGAGUCGGUCAGCAUGUGCCACAACCACUAUGUUAAUUAACAUUGUGUGAAGCUUUUGACCAUAAACUGCAGCAGGGAAAUGAGCUCGAGGAAAUCCAGGGGCGGAGUCAAGGCAAUAGCUUUAAGAUAUUAAUAUUCUUUUUAACACAUUUUCUGUUUGCAAAUUAUUCACUUUUAAUUCGGGUGUAAUUUUUGUCGGUGUCCCGUCAAACCAGGAAAACGCCAAACCAACGAUACCAAUUUUAAAGAAUUUUUUUUUGGAGCUGAGAAGAUCCGGCUCCCGGAAAACCAUAAAUAUAUAUCUGCUUAAGAGAGCUCUUUUAGGUAGGCUGUUAGGGUUUCCUGUGGAUGCUGCAGCGCCAUAGUUGCGCUUUCACGUUUGGUUUUUUUUUGUGCGAUAGGAAAUACCAGUCGAGAUUCGUGUAGUAUGUAAGUAUUUGCGUAUAUUAUAAACUGUGUAGUUUUUGAAAUGUUAUGUAAUAAAUAUUGUGUUAUAAUUUGAAACUGAUAAAAGGA